rnacentral:rRNA from 1 species
AACGAACGCUGGCGGCGUGCCUAACACAUGCAAGUCGAGCGCGAAAAGGGCAGCCUGAGUAGAGCGGCGCACGGGUGCGUAACACGUGGGUAAUCUGCCUUAGAGUCGAGGAUAACCUUCCGAAAGGUUGGCUAAUACUCGGUAAGCUUACGGUGUCUUCGGACGCUGUGGGAAAAGUAGGCCUCUGUUUACAAGCUUACGCUCUGAGAUGAGCCCGCGGCCCAUCAGCUAGUUGGCGGUGUAACGGACCACCAAGGCAACGACGGGUAGCUGGUCUGAGGGGACGAUCAGCCACACUGGAACUGAGACACGGUCCAGACGCCUACGGGAGGCAGCAGUGGGGAAUUUUCCACAAUGGGCGAAAGCCUGAUGGAGCAACGCCGCGUGUGUGAUGAAGGUUUUCGGAUCGUAAAGCACUUUCGACCGGGACGAAAAACCUCUGGCUAACAUCCAGGGGCCUGACGGUACCGGGAGAAGAAGCACCGGCUAACUCUGUGCCAGCAGCCGCCGUAA